GUAUAGCUCAGUGGUAAGUGUGCGUGCUUAGCACGCACGAGGUCCUGGGUUCAAUCCUCAGUAC
rnacentral:tRNA from 1 species